GACGAACGCUGGCGGCGUGCCUAAUACAUGCAAGUCGAGCGAAGUUUUUCUGGUGCUUGCACUAGAAAUACUUAGCGGCGAACGGGUGAGUAACACGUAAAGAACCUGCCUCAUAGACUGGGACAACUAUUGGAAACGAUAGCUAAUACCGGAUAACAGUAUUUCUCGCAUGAGAGCUAUUUAAAAGUUGAUUAUGCUAACACUAUGAGAUGGCUUUGCGGUGCAUUAGCUAGUUGGUGGGGUAGAGGCCCACCAAGGCGACGAUGCAUAGCCGACCUGAGAGGGUGAUCGGCCACACUGGGACGGAGACACGGCCCAGACUCCUACGGGAGGCAGCAGUAGGGAAUCUUCCGCAAUGGGCGAAAGCCUGACGGAGCAACGCCGCGUGAGUGAAGAAGGAUUUCGGUUCGUAAAGCUCUGUUGUUAGGGAAGAAUGGAUAUGUAGUAACUAUACAUGUAAGAGACGGUACCUAACCAGAAAGCCACGGCUAACUACGUG
rnacentral:rRNA from 1 species